UCAUUUAGAGGAAGUAAAAGUCGUAACAAGGUUUCCGUAGGUGAACCUGCGGAAGGAUCAUUAUCGAAUUUCGAGGGGGGGAAGAUGAAGGGGAGACUGUCGCUGGCGUUCGCUGUGCACGUCUUUCUUUUCGUCGACCUUUCUCUUACUCUCACACCUGUGCACACACUGUAGGUCUCUCGAAAGAGGAUCUAUGUUUUCAUCAUCACACACACUGUAUGUCUAGAAUGUAUCACGAUCGUCGACCGGCCUUGCGGUCGGGUGGCGGUCAAAUGAAUAAAUACAACUUUCAGCAACGGAUCUCUUGGCUCUCGCAUCGAUGAAGAACGCAGCGAAUUGCGAUAAGUAAUGUGAAUUGCAGAUUUUCAGUGAAUCAUCGAAUCUUUGAACGCACCUUGCGCUCCUUGGUAUUCCGAGGAGCAUGCCUGUUUGAGUGUCAUGUAAUUCUCAACCACGUCUCGAUUGAUUUCGAGGCAUGGCUUGGACUUGGGGGCUGCUGGUGGCGAAAGCUGUCAGCUCUCCUGAAAUGCAUUAGCAACGGACAGCAAUGUCUGACGUGCACGGCCUUGACGUGAUAAUGAUCGUCGUCGCUGGAGCGUCGGACGUGCACACGAGUCCGUUUGCUUCGAAUCCUAUUGACUUGAGACUUGGACAUUUCGAGAGAAGCGUCAGCUACUAGUCGGUCAUGAGGCCGGCGAACGUGGGCUUGCUCGGAGGUCAGAGUCCCUCGUCUUUUUUCAUGACUUGACCUCAAAUCAGGUAGGACUACCCGCUGAACUUAAGCAUAUCAAUA
rnacentral:rRNA from 1 species